UGUGGCAAGCUACUUAGUGCGAUCGGUGGAUGCCUUGGCACCAAGAGCCGAUGAAGGACGUUGUAACCUGCGAUAAGCCCUGGGGAGUUGGUAGACGAGCUGUGAUCCGGGGAUUUCCGAAUAGGGAAACCUUGAAGGGAACCGGUUGUGAGGCCGGCGACUGCCCCCUGAAUGUAUAGGGGGGUUUGAGGGAACGUGGGGAAGUGAAACAUCUCAGUACCCAUAGGAAAAGAAAACAAUAGUGAUUCCGUGAGUAGUGGCGAGCGAAAGCGGAUGAGGCCAAACCGUGCGUGUGUGAGAGCCGGCAGGUGUUGCAUGUGCGGGGUUGUGGGAGUGUUCUUGCCUGAGCUGCCGUGAGGGCGGGGAGUGAUAAAGCAGUGUUGAAGUGGAAGCGGUUGGGAAGCCGUACCGUAGAGGGUGAUGGUCCCGUACACGUAGUGCACUGUCUUUCUUGAGCAUGUCCCAAGUAGUGCGGAACCCCUGGAAUUCCGCAUGAAUCUGGCGGGACCACCCGUUAAGCCUAAAUACUCCUUGGUGACCGAUAGCGGACCAGUACCGUGAGGGAAAGGUGAAAAGUACCCCGGGAGGGGAGUGAAAUAGUACCUGAAACCGGUCGCAUACAAUCCGUCGGGGCCCUGCCUGUUUGGGUGGGGUGACGGCGUGCCUUUUGAAGAAUGAGCCUGCGAGUUAGUGGUGUGUGGCGAGGUUAACCCGUGGUGGGGGAGCCGUAGCGAAAGCGAGUCCGAACAGGGCGUUUGAGUCGCAUGCUCUAGACCCGAAGCGGUGUGAUCUACCCAUGGCCAGGGUGAAGCGUCGGUAAGACGUCGUGGAGGCCCGAACCCACCAGGGUUGCAAACCUGGGGGAUGAGCUGUGGGUAGGGGUGAAAGGCCAAUCAAACACUGUGAUAGCUGGUUCUCCCCGAAAUGCAUUUAGGUGCAGCGUCGCGUGUUUCUUGUCGGAGGUAGAGCACUGGAUGGUCUAGGGGGCCUAUCAGCUUACCGAAAUCAGCCAAACUCCGAAUGCCGGCAAGCCAGAAGCGUGGCAGUGAGACGGCGGGGGAUAAGCUUCGUCGUCGAGAGGGAAACAGCCCAGAUCAUCAGCUAAGGCCCCUAAGGGGUGGCUAAGUGGGAAAGGAUGUGGAGUUGCGGUGACAACCAGGAGGUUGGCUUGGAAGCAGCCAUCCUUGAAAGAGUGCGUAAUAGCUCACUGGUCAAGUGAUUCCGCGCCGACAAUGUAGCGGGGCUCAAGCCAUCCGCCGAAGCUGUGGCAUCCGCGCGUGUACCCGGCAUGGUCCCUUUCGGGGGGUUGUGUCCAGGUGUGUGGAUGGGUAGGGGAGCGUUGUGUGUGUGGUGAAGCGCUGGGGUGACCUGGUGUGGAGUGCACGCAAGUGAGAAUGCAGGCAUGAGUAGCGUAUGACGGGUGGGAAACCCGUCCGCCGAAUAUCCAAGGGUUCCGGGGUCAAGCUGAUCUGCCCCGGGUGAGUCGGGUCCUAAGGCGAGGCCGACAGGCGUAGUCGAUGGUUAACGGGUUGAUAUUCCCGUACCGGCCCAGCAACGAUCCUGUUGAAUCGGAUGAUGCUAAGCACGCGAGACGUCUUCUGUGCUCUUUGAGUGUGGGGGGUGUUGAGUCUGUGAACCGAGUCUGUAGUAGACAAGCUGCGGAGGGACGCAGGAAGGUAGCUCGACAGUCGUUAUGGUAAGGCUGUUAAGUCUGUGGGGUGACUGGUAGGUAAAUCCGCUGGUCGUGUGCCUGAGAGAUGAUGAGUGGGGCCCCGUUUCGUGGGUUCGUAUUCGAGUGAUCCUAUGCUGCCUAGAAAAGCUUCGUGAGCGAGUUGCUGUGCCGCCCGUACCCCAAACCGACACUGGUGGAUAGGUAGAGAAUACCGAGGCGAUCGAGAUAAUCGUGGUGAAGGAACUCGGCAAAAUCCUCCCGUAACUUAGGGAUAAGGGAGACUUGAUGCGUGAUGGGUCCGUGCGGCCCGGAGGCGUUGAUAGUCGCAGUGAAUUGACCCAAGCGACUGCUUACUAAAAGCACAGGUCCGUGCCAAGUUGCAAGACGAUGUAUACGGACUGACUCCUGCCCGGUGCUGGAAGGUUAAGGGGAACUGUUAGCCCUCGGGCGAAGCGGUGAACUUAAGCCCCAGUAAACGGCGGUGGUAACUAUAACCAUCCUAAGGUAGCGAAAUUCCUUGUCGGGUAAGUUCCGACCUGCACGAAUGGAGUAACGACUUGGGUACUGUCUCCACCACGAACUCGGUGAAAUUGCAUUACGAGUAAAGAUGCUCGUUACGCGCAGCAGGACGGAAAGACCCCGGGACCUUUACUAUAGUUUGGUAUUGGUGAUCGGUGCGACUUGUGUAGGAUAGGUGGGAGACUGGGAAGCGGUCACGCUAGUGGUCGUGGAGUCGUCGUUGAAAUACCACUCUGGUCGUUCUGGUUAUCUAACCUAGGACCGUUAUCCGGUUCAGGGACAGUGCCUGAUGGGUAGUUUGACUGGGGCGGUCGCCUCCCAAAAGGUAACGGAGGCGCCCAAAGGUUCCCUCAGCCUGGUCGGCAACCAGGUGUUGAGUGUAAGUGCACAAGGGGGCUUGACUGUGAGACAGACAUGUCGAGCAGGGACGAAAGUCGGGACUAGUGAUCUUCUGGUGGCUUGUGGAAGCGCCAGAACUCAACGGAUAAAAGGUACCCCGGGGAUAACAGGCUGAUCUUGCCCGAGCGCUCACAGCGACGGCAUGGUUUGGCACCUCGAUGUCGGCUCGUCGCAUCCUGGGGCUGGAGUCGGUCCCAAGGGUUGGGCUGUUCGCCCAUUAAAGCGGCACGCGAGCUGGGUUAAGAACGUCGUGAGACAGUUCGGUCCCUAUCCGCUGCGCGCGUAGGAAUCUUGAGAAGAGCUGUCCUUAGUACGAGAGGACCGGGACGGACUAACCUCUGGUGUGCCAGUUGUUCCUCCAGGAGCAUGGCUGGUUGGCUACGUUGGGAAGUGAUAACCGCUGAAAGCAUCUAAGUGGGAAGCACGCUUCAAGAUGAGGGUUCCCCAGUCUUUGUGCUGGUAAGGCCCCCGGUAGACCACCGGGUUGAUGGGUCGGACGUGGAAGCGCCGUGAGGUGUGAAGCUGACCGAUACCAAGAGGCCGAGAGGCUUGCCAUCA
rnacentral:rRNA from 1 species